CUUAACACCCUCUCUUUGGGGCUGGCUGUGAUUUCCCAUUGCAAACACAAGCUCUUCCAGCACUCUCAGUGUUGGGUGGUGGGACAGAGCUGACCCAUGCUGCAGGCUCACCUUCCACCACUCAAAGCUACUGUCCUGCAACCACCUCCAACCUGGAGGCAUGGCAGACAUUGGAGGAUCUUCCCUCCUAAGGCUGCAUCCUUAUGGAAAAGAGUGAUGAAAAGCCUGGGAAAAGAGUCUGGGAUUCCCCACCCUCCAUCCUCUUCCCUCUUCUCUGCUUGCUGCUAGCCAGGACUGCAGGGCCCUGCCAGCCACACAUUCCCAAGCCCUGGGGCAGGAGGGAGGAGGAUGAGGAGCAGGGCACAAAGAUGAAGUUAGGCAAGGCAGCCGAGCUGUGCAGCUGCUGUGGAAGGAGCUGAAUUGCACCUCACAGCAGUAGCCAGGACUUUGAUCUGCUCAAACUUUCCUUGCUUCAUGCUCAGCAUCCCUAUAUUCCAAAAGCAGUCUUCCAGCAAGGAAAACAGGGAGGGAAAUAAAAUGAGAGCCUUGUCUCACCUUUCCAUGGCACAGGACAAGGAGGAAUCACCUCACACUGCCAGAGGGCAGGGUUAGAUGGGAUAUUGGGAAGAACUCCUCCUCUAUGAGGGUGCUGAGGCCCUGGCACAGGGUGCCCAGAGCAGCUGUGGCUGCCCUGGAUCCCUGGAAGUGUCCAAGGCCAGGUUGGACAGGGCUUGGAGCAACCUGGGACACUGGAAGGUGUCCCUGCCCAUGGCAGGGGGUUGGGAAUGAGAUGAGUUUUAAGGUCCCUUUCAACUCAAAGCAUUCUGUGAUUCUUUGCUUCUCCAAAUUCCAGCAAACAGCUGCACUUUUAUGUACACAGAAAAGCACAUGCACGUCAAAGACGCUGUUUUUCCCCACUCCAGGAGAUGCAGCAGGAGCAUGAAGUACAUCAGCACAUUAUUUAAGUACACUGAUUACAUUAAACAGAGCCAUUUGUUUUCAUCUUCACUGCAAACACAUCUGCCUAAGUGCUCCAGCUCUCCAGCUUCACAGGGCGCAUAUGAAGUUUGGAGCAUUAUCCCUGGGGAUUGUGUGCACUUGGAAGAAAGGCAGAGAGAUACAGCAGUUGUUAAGGGAAAAAAAAAAAAGGGUAGUCAAGCCUUUACUAGUCUGACAGUUCCUAAAAUAAUGUUGCUUCCCUGAAGAAUGAACGUGCUUAUCUCUGAUCUACAGAACCUGACUAAAAGGUUGCUUUUCCCUUGCCAGAAGAGCAUCCUUAGAAGUUCCUGAAUGCCUGAGCAGAACUGCUGGACCCUGCCAGAGGACUUCAUGGUAUAAGAAGGCUGCAGAAAGCCACCUUCUCACACGUGACAAGACCCCUUACAUAAUUUAGAGGAUAUACAUUAAAAAAAAAAACACUUUCCUGAAUCAAGGCCUACAAACAAGGCUGCAGAAGGGAGACUAUAUUUUGGCAAUGGUUUUUUUUGUUCAGCUUCAGCUGUCAACUAACUGGCAUGGAGCAGAGCAAUCCAAGAGUACAGCUUUCCUUCCCAGGUAACCAUAUUCCCUCUCCUAAGCAUCCCUUUGCUACAUCUGCAAGGCAAGUCACAAAUUUCUCCUGGCAGCCAGUCACUGGAUGAGCCAGGGCAUUCUCCGUUUCCUGCCAGCACAAAGAGGCACGUGCUGCUGUACAGCCAGAGGAAAAAAGGCUUUCAGAAGUCUCACCCCAGGCUCUCAGCACACAGCACUGAGGUCACAUCUAGCUGUGUGCAGGUCAGGCAACCCCAGUAAUUCCUAGCUUUACUGGAAAGAGAUAUCUCAGCCCCAAAAAAGCCCUCUCAUCUUGGGGAAGAAAGGCACAGGCAGUGCAGAUGGAUGCUGUGUGCUAGAGACGAGUCAUGCAGCAGGUCCUGCUCAAGUCUGUGCUGCACAACACAGGUGUGAUAAACUGUGGUAACUUGUUUGUUCAUCAAAAGAAUUAGAAUAUUAAAGGGGGAAAUAUAAAAUUAAAGUAUAAGGGACCAGCUUGCUUGUUAAGAGAUAGGGGAAGCAUCUGUGAAGUUGGGAAACAGGAAGCAACUGCUACAAACCGCAAGGCUAUAGGCAUAUUGCAAGGCGCAAGACCGCAAGUAUGAUUAAUCAUCAUAUAGGGAGCUUUUCUUAGCUUCUUUUGCAGACACAGGCUAAGGAUAUUGGGGGAUGGCUGGAGCUGAUUGUGAAAUCAGCGACCACCGGGCGGCGGCCACCGGAGUGGACGGCGUAGGAGUGCUCCGGGUACGCCCAUCACUGUCCGGAACCGAUUGUGAAACCAACGAUCACCUGCCUCGACACAACGCAGACACGAUGCAGAGGGAUGCUCAAGCUACGCCCACCGCUAUCGCAAGAGACGCGAAUGAAGGAACCUCCAAGAAACUAUAAAAAGAAACUGAAUAAGGGAGUGGGGUGUGGGGCACUGCAGUGUGGGACACUGCAGGAGGGGCGGUUUGGAGACCCCUACCCACCCAGCGCUGUUUUGCUUGCUACUGCUUGCUGUAAUUAAUAAAAUUCUAAUUGACCUUAAAAAGGCUGAAUCAAAUUAUUCGCCUCAAUUUAUCACACAGGCAGCUCUUGGAGGGAAGGGCUCCAAAAAUCCUGAGCCCAAGCUUGAAGUUUUGUAUUUAAGAAUGUGACAGCAAGAAGGAGGAAAUUCUGAGAGCAAUUUCUCAGCUGGACCAGGGAGUUUUCAAAUCCAUUAGACAACCUCAGAUGCUUUCUGCUGCUUUAACCUUUAGCCCCUUUUACAAGCUGGAAAGGUCACAUCUCAAAUGAGGCAGAACAGUGUGAAUCCAGGAGCCUCUCCACUACACAGCCGGCCGAGGAGGAACAAAUUAUUGGAAUAUUCUGUCUAUUCCAGAAGAAAACACUGGUAGAUCAGUUUCCAAACAAGCUCAUAAAUCUGUAGCUUACAUUUUAAUCUCAGUAAAAGACUCUAUACUACCAGGAAAAGAAAAAUGAUAGGCUUUGGAUUAUGCAAAUCGUGGCUUCUAACCAUUUAUAUUGUAUAUUCCUCCCUUUUUCUUCAGGAUUGCCUGGAAAAUCAUAAGAUGCAGUGGCAGAGAAGAUUUCAGCCCAACUGGAAAACAGAGGCUCACCUGUAACUUUGGCCACUCAGUAUUAAUUAUCAGCUCCACAACUUCUCCAAGGAGCUUUUCCAAUACUUGGGCCUUAGGCAAGCCCCGUGUGGGGUGAAGACACUAUGCCAGGGAACCACUGAGCAGCACAAGGGCAGAGCUCCGGAGGGAUUGGAAGCUGCUGUCUCCAGAAGCAGCAAGGCAGGAGCUAAUUAAAACCCUGUGUGGGAGCCUGCAUGAGGUGUAUGAGAGCACUGGGCACAACAGGCUUUGGAUGUGUGCCCACGUGCAGAAACACUCUAUUUAAAGCAGCAGCACUUUGGGGAAGCGAGGCAGCAUUCAAUUCCUCCUCUAAAAAACCCUCCCUCCCUCAGCAUUCGAUAAGGAGUGGCCAUGGGUUUCCAGUGUUCUUGUCUGACUUAAAGGACUCUUAGAUUUCAGAGGUCACAGACCCAUCAGGGCACAAGAAACAGAAACAAAUAAAAACCAUUUAUCC